rnacentral:rRNA from 1 species
AUGUUAACGUUGAAACAAAGUGAUUUGCCAGAUGAGGUUUAUUGGAAAUUGGAUAGUUCGGGCAAAUAUAGUACAAAAUCCAUGUACGCGUGGCUAGAAAAGGAUAUAGCAGGAUCUAAUUUUAAGUGGAUCUGGGAUGCUAAACUUCCUCUUAAAAUUCAGAUAUUCUUGUGGUAGAUGGCGCAGAAUGCCAUCCUGACUAGGGACAACAUGAAAAAAAGAUUAUGGCCUGGGGAGCCUUGCUGUUCUUUCGGUGACAAAUUAGAAACAGCUCAACACCUGUUAUUUUUGUGCCCUGUCUCCAGGGUGGUGUGGAGAACCGUAGGUUCCAUGCUUGGAACCGAUUGCUGCCCUAAUUCUGUCUAG